rnacentral:rRNA from 1 species
UACGUAGGGGGCAAGCGUUUGUCCGGAUUUAUUGGGCGUAAAGAGCGUGUAGGCGGCUCUGCAAGUCCUGCGUGAAAUCUCGAGGCUCAACCUCGAGCGGUCGUGGGAAACUGGAGGGCUAGAGUGCGGGAGAGGGAAGUGGAAUUCCAGGUGUAGCGGUGAAAUGCGCAGAUAUCUGGAAGAACACCCGUGGCGAAGGCGGCUUCCUGGAACGACACUGACGCUGAGACGCGAAAGCGUGGGGAGCAAACAGG